rnacentral:rRNA from 1 species
UACGUAGGGGGCUAGCGUUGUCCGGAAUCAUUGGGCGUAAAGCGCGUGUAGGCGGUCCGGUAAGUCCGCUGUGAAAGUCGAGGGCUCAACCCUCGAAUGCCGGUGGAUACUGCCGGGCUAGAGUCCGGAAGAGGCGAGUGGAAUUCCUGGUGUAGCGGUGGAAUGCGCAGAUAUCAGGAGGAACACCGAUAGCGAAGGCAGCUCGCUGGGACGGUACUGACGCUGAGGCGCGAAAGCGUGGGGAGCAAACAGG